rnacentral:rRNA from 1 species
GCCUUAGAGUGGGGAACAACUCGGGGAAACUCGAGCUAAUACCGCAUACACCCCAAGGGGUAAAGGUCGCUUGCGAUCGCUCUAAGAUGAGCCUGCGUCCGAUUAGCUAGUUGGUAGGGUAAAGGCCUACCAAGGCGACGAUCGGUAGCUGGUCUGAGAGGAUGAUCAGCCACACUGGGACUGAGACACGGCCCACACUCCUACGGGAGGCAGCAGUGGGGAAUAUUGGACAAUGGGCGAAAGCCUGAUCCAGCAAUGCCGCGUGUGUGAAGAAGGCUCUAGGGUUGUAAAGCACUUUCAGUUGGGAGGAAAGCCUCAGGGUGAACCCUGAGGUGUGACGUUACCAACAGAAGAAGCACCGGCUAACUCCGUGCCAGCAGCCGCGGUAAUACGGAGGGUGCAAGCGUUAAUCUGAAUUACUGGGCGUAAAGCGCGUGUAGGCGGAUAGAUAAGUCAAAUGUGAAAGCCCCGGGCUUAACCUGGGAACUGCAUUUGAUACUGUUUAUCUAGAGUAUGGUAGAGGGAAGUGGAAUUUCCGGUGUAGCGGUGAAAUGCGUAGAUAUCGGAAGGAACACCAGUGGCGAAGGCGGCUUCCUGGACCAAUACUGACGCUCAGACGCGAAAGCGUGGGUAGCGAACGGGAUUAGAUACCCCGGUAGUCCACGCCGUAAACGAUGAGAACUAGCUGCUGGGUAGCUCGACUACUUAGUGGCGCAGCUAACGCGUUAAGUUCUCCGCCUGGGGAGUACGGCCGCAAGGCUAAAACUCAAAGGAAUUGACGGGGACCCGCACAAGCGGUGGAACAUGUGGUUUAAUUCGAUGCAACGCGA